GGUUAAGCGACUAAGCGUACACGGUGGAUGCCCUGGCAGUCAGAGGCGAUGAAGGGCGUGCUAAUCUGCGAUAAGCGCCGGUAAGGUGAUAUGAACCGUUAUAACCGGCGAUACCCGAAUGGGGAAACCCAGUGUGAUUCGUCACACUAUCAUUAACUGAAUCCAUAGGUUAAUGAGGCGAACCGGGGGAACUGAAACAUCUAAGUACCCCGAGGAAAAGAAAUCAACCGAGAUUCCCCCAGUAGCGGCGAGCGAACGGGGAGGAGCCCAGAGCCUGAAUCAGCAUGUGUGUUAGUGGAAGCGUCUGGAAAGGCGCGCGAUACAGGGUGACAGCCCCGUACACAAAAGCGCAUGUGCUGUGAGCUCGAUGAGUAGGGCGGGACACGUGGUAUCCUGUCUGAAUAUGGGGGGACCAUCCUCCAAGGCUAAAUACUCCUGACUGACCGAUAGUGAACCAGUACCGUGAGGGAAAGGCGAAAAGAACCCCGGCGAGGGGAGUGAAAAAGAACCUGAAACCGUGUACGUACAAGCAGUGGGAGCCCCACCACUAAGCCAGUGGUGAACUCCACAUACGCAUCCUUUGCUGAGGAUACGGUUAACGGAGCGCAAGCGACGUUCAACCGCAAAAGAAGCAGAGGGGGCUUAGUGGUGGGGUGACUGCGUACCUUUUGUAUAAUGGGUCAGCGACUUAUAUUCUGUAGCAAGGUUAACCGUAUAGGGGAGCCGGAGGGAAACCGAGUCUUAAUUGGGCGUUAAGUUGCAGGGUAUAGACCCGAAACCCGGUGAUCUAGCCAUGGGCAGGUUGAAGGUUGGGUAACACUAACUGGAGGACCGAACCGACUAAUGUUGAAAAAUUAGCGGAUGACCUGUGGCUGGGGGUGAAAGGCCAAUCAAACCGGGAGAUAGCUGGUUCUCCCCGAAAGCUAUUUAGGUAGCGCCUCGUGAAUUCAUCUCCGGGGGUAGAGCACUGUUUCGGCUAGGGGGCCAUCCCGGCUUACCAACCCGAUGCAAACUGCGAAUACCGGAGAAUGUUAUCACGGGAGACACACGGCGGGUGCUAACGUCCGUCGUGAAGAGGGAAACAACCCAGACCGCCAGCUAAGGUCCCAAAGUCAUGGUUAAGUGGGAAACGAUGUGGGAAGGCCCAGACAGCCAGGAUGUUGGCUUAGAAGCAGCCAUCAUUUAAAGAAAGCGUAAUAGCUCACUGGUCGAGUCGGCCUGCGCGGAAGAUGUAACGGGGCUAAACCAUGCACCGAAGCUGCGGCAGCGAACGUAUCACUUAAAGCGAUUCAGCGGGUUACGAUUGACGGAGCGAAGCGACGUCAAAGCGUAUACAAAGUCGAGUCGGUUUAAGGAUACGUUCGUUGGGUAGGGGAGCGUUCUGUAAGCCUGUGAAGGUGGCCUGUGAGGGUUGCUGGAGGUAUCAGAAGUGCGAAUGCUGACAUAAGUAACGAUAAAGCGGGUGAAAAGCCCGCUCGCCGGAAGACCAAGGGUUCCUGUCCAACGUUAAUCGGGGCAGGGUGAGUCGACCCCUAAGGCGAGGCCGAAAGGCGUAGUCGAUGGGAAACGGGUUAAUAUUCCCGUACUUGGUGUUACUGCGAAGGGGGGACGGAGAAGGCUAUGUUGGCCGGGCGACGGUUGUCCCGGUUUAAGCGUGUAGGUGUGUGUUCCAGGUAAAUCCGGUUCACUUUAACACUGAGGCGUGAUGACGAGGCACUACGGUGCUGAAGCAACAAAUGCCCUGCUUCCAGGAAAAGCCUCUAAGCAUCAGGUAACAUCAAAUCGUACCCCAAACCGACACAGGUGGUCAGGUAGAGAAUACCAAGGCGCUUGAGAGAACUCGGGUGAAGGAACUAGGCAAAAUGGUGCCGUAACUUCGGGAGAAGGCACGCUGACAUGUAGGUGAAGUGAUUUACUCAUGGAGCUGAAGUCAGUCGAAGAUACCAGCUGGCUGCAACUGUUUAUUAAAAACACAGCACUGUGCAAACACGAAAGUGGACGUAUACGGUGUGACGCCUGCCCGGUGCCGGAAGGUUAAUUGAUGGGGUCAGCGCAAGCGAAGCUCCUGAUCGAAGCCCCGGUAAACGGCGGCCGUAACUAUAACGGUCCUAAGGUAGCGAAAUUCCUUGUCGGGUAAGUUCCGACCUGCACGAAUGGCGUAAUGAUGGCCAGGCUGUCUCCACCCGAGACUCAGUGAAAUUGAACUCGCUGUGAAGAUGCAGUGUACCCGCGGCAAGACGGAAAGACCCCGUGAACCUUUACUAUAGCUUGACACUGAACAUUGAGCCUUGAUGUGUAGGAUAGGUGGGAGGCUUUGAAGCGUGGACGCCAGUCUGCGUGGAGCCGGCCUUGAAAUACCACCCUUUAAUGUUUGAUGUUCUAACGUGGACCCGUGAUCCGGGUUGCGGACAGUGUCUGGUGGGUAGUUUGACUGGGGCGGUCUCCUCCUAAAGAGUAACGGAGGAGCACGAAGGUUGGCUAAUCCUGGUCGGACAUCAGGAGGUUAGUGCAAUGGCAUAAGCCAGCUUGACUGCGAGCGUGACGGCGCGAGCAGGUGCGAAAGCAGGUCAUAGUGAUCCGGUGGUUCUGAAUGGAAGGGCCAUCGCUCAACGGAUAAAAGGUACUCCGGGGAUAACAGGCUGAUACCGCCCAAGAGUUCAUAUCGACGGCGGUGUUUGGCACCUCGAUGUCGGCUCAUCACAUCCUGGGGCUGAAGUAGGUCCCAAGGGUAUGGCUGUUCGCCAUUUAAAGUGGUACGCGAGCUGGGUUUAGAACGUCGUGAGACAGUUCGGUCCCUAUCUGCCGUGGGCGCUGGAGAACUGAGGGGGGCUGCUCCUAGUACGAGAGGACCGGAGUGGACGCAUCACUGGUGUUCGGGUUGUCAUGCCAAUGGCACUGCCCGGUAGCUAAAUGCGGAAGAGAUAAGUGCUGAAAGCAUCUAAGCACGAAACUUGCCCCGAGAUGAGUUCUCCCUGAGACUUAAAGUCUCCUGAAGGAACGUUGAAGACGACGACGUUGAUAGGCCGGGUGUGUAAGCGCAGCGAUGCGUUGAGCUAACCGGUACUAAUGAACCGUGAGGCUUAACCUU
rnacentral:rRNA from 1 species